rnacentral:lncRNA from 1 species
CAGAGACAGAGGAAAGGCUGAAGGUUGAGUUGAUUACCAGUAGCUCACGAUAUAAUCAUUCAUGCCUACAUAACACAGCUUUCAUAAGAACCCAAUAGGACAGGGUUCAAGGACCCUCUAAAGAAUGCCACACCUAUAGAGGCAUGGAAACUCUUUGCCACUUUCAUCUGACUAUUGAUCUAUAUCCUUUGUAAUGCCUCUUAUAAGAAAUGGGCAGAUUCUAGCAGUGUUUGUGAGAAAAACUGAUGGAUCCUGCAGAUUAACUAUGGACAGCCAAAUAUUGAGUAAAGUGAUGUCUACAACAGCAUCAGCUAUGCCUGAUAUGGUGUUAAUUCACAUUGUGAAGUCCUCAAUAGGAAAAAGAUGCCUCCCUGGUCGACCUUCCUGGAAAGUAUGCAUAUCAUUACUGCUUAGAUUUUGUUGGAGAGAAAUCACACUACCAUCAAAGACAACGGGUCAAAAAGAAUGCCGUCCUAAGCUGAGAAGCCAUCUUCCUAACGACAGCCAUGUAAUAUGAAAGGGAAAAACACACUGUUAUUGAAGAACUUAUCAGCUAUGUCACAUCUUCCACACAAAUACUCAGGAAAGUUAAAAGAAAAUUUUACCUCGGACACAGUUGAUGUACCUCAGUCUUGUACAAAACUUAGAACUCACUAAGUCUGAAAUAAGACUUUAAACUCUCUCUGAGGAUUGCUAAAGUCCUAUUGCAUGCUUUAAGAUGCCUUGCGUUUGGUGAAUUGAAGCCUGAUAUGUCAACAUACUCUCUGUAAACACAGCAGCACAGAGGGCAAAGAAACACUUAUCCAGCACCACAGCUAGGACAAAAGGAAUUAUUUUGACAGUAAAUGGACUUGCAGCUUAAGUUAAGUGCAUUAAUAUUGGGAUGGUAUUAACUAUACAAAAUUGUUUCUAAGCAAAGGUGACCAGAUGUCCUAAUUUGACUGAUUGAU